AUUGAACGCUGGCGGCAGGCCUAACACAUGCAAGUCUAGCGGUAGCACAGAGAGCUUGCUCUCGGGUGACGAGCGGCGGACGGGUGAGUAAUGUCUGGGAAACUGCCUGAUGGAGGGGGAUAACUACUGGAAACGGUAGCUAAUACCGCAUAACGUCGCAAGACCAAAGUGGGGGACCUUCGGGCCUCAUGCCAUCAGAUGUGCCCAGAUGGGAUUAGCUAGUAGGUGGGGUAAUGGCUCACCUAGGCGACGAUCCCUAGCUGGUCUGAGAGGAUGACCAGCCACACUGGAACUGAGACACGGUCCAGACUCCUACGGGAGGCAGCAGUGGGGAAUAUUGCACAAUGGGCGCAAGCCUGAUGCAGCCAUGCCGCGUGUGUGAAGAAGGCCUUCGGGUUGUAAAGCACUUUCAGCGGGGAGGAAGGCGAUAAGGUUAAUAACCUCAUCGAUUGACGUUACCCGCAGAAGAAGCACCGGCUAACUCCGUGCCAGCAGCCGCGGUAAUACGGAGGGUGCAAGCGUUAAUCGGAAUUACUGGGCGUAAAGCGCACGCAGGCGGUCUGUCAAGUCGGAUGUGAAAUCCCCGGGCUCAACCUGGGAACUGCAUUCGAAACUGGCAGGCUAGAGUCUUGUAGAGGGGGGUAGAAUUCCAGGUGUAGCGGUGAAAUGCGUAGAGAUCUGGAGGAAUACCGGUGGCGAAGGCGGCCCCCUGGACAAAGACUGACGCUCAGGUGCGAAAGCGUGGGGAGCAAACAGGAUUAGAUACCCUGGUAGUCCACGCCGUAAACGAUGUCGAUUUGGAGGUUGUGCCCUUGAGGCGUGGCUUCCGGAGCUAACGCGUUAAAUCGACCGCCUGGGGAGUACGGCCGCAAGGUUAAAACUCAAAUGAAUUGACGGGGGCCCGCACAAGCGGUGGAGCAUGUGGUUUAAUUCGAUGCAACGCGAAGAACCUUACCUGGUCUUGACAUCCACAGAACUUUCCAGAGAUGGAUUGGUGCCUUCGGGAACUGUGAGACAGGUGCUGCAUGGCUGUCGUCAGCUCGUGUUGUGAAAUGUUGGGUUAAGUCCCGCAACGAGCGCAACCCUUAUCCUUUGUUGCCAGCGGUCCGGCCGGGAACUCAAAGGAGACUGCCAGUGAUAAACUGGAGGAAGGUGGGGAUGACGUCAAGUCAUCAUGGCCCUUACGACCAGGGCUACACACGUGCUACAAUGGCAUAUACAAAGAGAAGCGACCUCGCGAGAGCAAGCGGACCUCAUAAAGUAUGUCGUAGUCCGGAUUGGAGUCUGCAACUCGACUCCAUGAAGUCGGAAUCGCUAGUAAUCGUAGAUCAGAAUGCUACGGUGAAUACGUUCCCGGGCCU
rnacentral:rRNA from 1 species